AUUUGAUCUUAAAUUUGCUUAAGAAAAUCAUUCAAUCCUACCUGAAGGGAAGAACACUUAGAAGUGAAGAUUGGGAGUUUUGCUUUGGAAUUAGAGGUUUCUUUUGCUUACGAGGAGGGACUUGGGUAAAGCUACAGGAGAGAUGAUCCCAGUGCCUACUGCAGUUCUUCAGGGAAGCAUGUUUCUAACCACAAGUGGUCCCUGGAGAAAUUCCAGUAGCUGAUGAUAAUUAACAUCUUCCACUCCAGUGGCUUCACAUGCUCGCAGCUGUUGAGAAGGGGUGGCAGUGAGGCCGUGCGGGUGAGCUUCAAAGGGCUACCAGAAAAGCAGUUCUAAAAAUACAUUUGUAAAGCUAUUGUUGGUGGCUGAACUGGGGACUUUCAACGUUUCCACAGGAGCCUAUGUUACUUGCCUUAGCUUCAUAGAGAAUUACUGUUGAAGCAAUCUGUUUUGAAACGUAAAAACUAGGUUUUCACCUUCUGCUACUGAGGCAAAAUGCAUUAAAAGGAUAAAGGUCAAAAGGACACUGGCUCGAGUGCUGACUCCCCUCUGGGAUUAGUUCAACAUAAAAGGUGCACUUUCAGUACUGUGCAGGCAGCUUUAGUUGUGAAACUCCCCUGUACACUAAUAGAAGCCACGUGGCUGAAACACCAUAUACCGAAAGUAAUGAUUUGUAAAAAUAGCUUUUCAUUACAGCUGAAAGUCAGAAAAUGAUGUGUUAAUAUAGUUCCAUUAGCUGAGUGUUACUGCCAAAAUGAGCAAGUAAGUGACAGCUCUUGGUUUCUCCUGCGCUUCUAUCUGGUAUUUUAAUAUUGUAAAAUGUUACUUCUCUGGGAUCCUCCUCUUCGUACUCUCCCCCAUUAGGUUGGUUUUCAACAGCACAGAGCUUGAAAAGUAGAAUUCAGCAGAUCAUUCAGAAUACUACUAUACUUUUUAUGUCACAAACCAAGAGCGCCAUCCGACUCCUGUGACAAGCUGGUACUGAUACAGAACAGAAGAGAGACUUGGGGUUCCAGGCUGGAGCAAGAUGAGUGGUGUCAACUGCAUGUAAGGUAGGCAUGCGAAAAUGCCAG